UACGUAGGGUGCAAGCGUUGUCCGGAAUUAUUGGGCGUAAAGAGCUUGUAGGCGGUUUGGCGCGUCUGCUGUGAAAUUUCGGGGCUCAACCCCGGACUUGCAGUGGGUACGGGCAGACUAGAGUGUGGUAGGGGAGACUGGAAUUCCUGGUGUAGCGGUGAAAUGCGCAGAUAUCAGGAGGAACACCGAUGGCGAAGGCAGGUCUCUGGGCCACUACUGACGCUGAGAAGCGAAAGCAUGGGGAGCGAACAGG
rnacentral:rRNA from 1 species